GGNANGCUGANCCAGCCAUGCCGCGUGGAGGAUUAAGGUCCUAUGGAUUGUAAACUCCUUUUGUACNGGAGCAAUAUGGUGUACGCGUACACCGAUGAGAGUAUCGUACGAAUAAGCAUCGGCUAACUCCGUG
rnacentral:rRNA from 1 species